GACGAACGCUGGCGGCGUGCUUAACACAUGCAAGUCGAACGGUAAGGCCCUUCGGGGUACACGAGUGGCGAACGGGUGAGUAACACGUGGGUGAUCUGCCCUGCACUUCGGGAUAAGCCUGGGAAACUGGGUCUAAUACCGGAUAGGACCCUGGGAUGCAUGUCCUGGGGUGGAAAGCUUUUGCGGUGUGGGAUGGGCCCGCGGCCUAUCAACUUGUUGGUGGGGUGAUGGCCUACCAAGGCGACGACGGGUAGCCGGCCUGAGAGGGUGACCGGCCACACUGGGACUGAGAUACGGCCCAGACUCCUACGGGAGGCAGCAGUGGGGAAUAUUGCACAAUGGGCGCAAGCCUGAUGCAGCGACGCCGCGUGAGGGGUGACGGCCUUCGGGUUGUAAACCUCUUUCAGCACCGACGAAGCGCAAGUGACGGUAGGUGCAGAAGAAGGACCGGCCAACUACGUGCCAGCAGCCGCAGUAA
rnacentral:rRNA from 1 species